UACGUAGGGGGGCAAGCGUUUGUCCGGAAUCAUUGGGCGUAAAGCGCGUGUAGGCGGCCAGAAAAGUCCGCUGUGAAAACUCGAGGCUCAACUUCGAGCUGUCGGUGGAAACUUUCUGGCUAGAGUCCGGAAGAGGAGAAUGGAAUUCCUGGUGUAGCAGUGAAAUGCGCAGAUAUCAGGAGGAAUACCCAUAGCGAAGGCAGCUCGCUGGGACGUUACUGACGCUGAGGCGCGAAAGCGUGGGGAGCGAACAGG
rnacentral:rRNA from 1 species